AAAGCGCUUUCCGCUUCGGACCAUGCCUAAGUCCCUUGGAAAAGGGCAUCAUAGAGGGUGAUAAUCCCGUACAUGGCAUGGAGCGCCCGAAGCUUUGUGAUACGCUUUCUAAGAGUCGAGUUGUUUGGGAAUGCAGCUCAAAAUGGGUGGUAAAUGCCAUCUAAGGCUAAAUAUUGGGGAGAGACCGAUAGCGAACAAGUACAGUGAUGGAAAGAUGAAAAGAACUUUGAAAAGAGAGUUAAACAGUACGUGAAAUUGCCAAAAGGGAAGGGUAGGAGGUCAGAGAUGCGGCCUGGGAUUCAGCCUUGCUUUUGCUUGGUGUUUUUCCCAGAUUGCAGGCCAACGUCGGUUUUGGGCACUGGAGAAGGGUAGGAGGAACGUGGCACCUCUCGGGGUGUGUUAUAGCCUCCUACUGGAUACAGCGACCGAGACCGAGGACAGCAGCGUACUCGCAAGAGCGGGCCUUCGGGCACCUUUACGCUUAGGGCGUUGGCAUAAUGGCCCUCUACCACCCGUCUUG
rnacentral:rRNA from 1 species